rnacentral:rRNA from 1 species
UAGGGAAUCUUCCGCAAUGGACGCAAGUCUGACGGAGCAACGCCGCGUGAGUGAAGAAGGAUUUCGGUUCGUAAAACUCUGUUGGUAGAGAAGAACAGCGCAUAGAGUAACUGUUAUGCGUGUGACGGUAUCUAACCAGAAAGCCACGGCUAACUACGUGCCAGCAGCCGCGGUAAUACGUAGGUGGCAAGCGUUGUCCGGAUUUAUUGGGCGUAAAGCGAGCGCAGGCGGUCAAUUAAGUCUGAUGUGAAAGCCCCCGGCUCAACCGGGGAGGGUCAUUGGAAACUGGUUGACUUGAGUGCAGAAGAGGAGAGUGGAAUUCCAUGUGUAGCGGUGAAAUGCGUAGAUAUAUGGAGGAACACCGGUGGCGAAAGCGGCUCUCUGGUCUGUAACUGACGCUGAGGCUCGAAAGCGUGGGGAGCGAACAGG